UAAAAAGUGUCACCAAAUUCAAAAUUUUAGUGUUUGUUUACUUCUUUGAAAACAUUGUCCAUAAAUAUGCUUCAUUCAUCUUCAUUAAAUAUGGUUCGAUUGCAAGAACUGAAGUUGUGGCAAGGUAAUUACGAUGAGCAUACGCAGAAAAAUAGUGAUAAAAAAGUUGUUAGUGAAAAAGAUGAAAAACAUUUGAGCGAAUCAAUAUUUAAUACAUCUAUAGAAAAGGUAGAUACAACAAAUUGGGAUAAACAUGAGAUUGUACCUUCUAAACCAUUUGAAGAAUUGUUAGAAGAAAAAAUUGCUCAAGAUUUACCGAUUCAAAUACGUAAUAAGCCCAAGAGGCCGUUUUUGAAAAAAGGACAAGGGACCGCUAGGUUUAAAAUGGCUCAGUAUCCUACAAAUAUAAAACAAACCAGUAGACUGAAAGAUCUAACUAACAGUGAUAGAAAGGGUAUCUUGAAGAGGGCUACAGUUCAAGUUCAGGAAAAUAUUAACUUAACACCUUUAACUGUACAGGAGUGUAUGAAACCAAGAGGAACAUGGAAAGCGGCAUUUGAAAAUGGUUCAACUGAGAAAAAGAACCAAGAAGAAGAUAGAUAUGAUAAAUUUAGAAGAAACCUCUACUUCAAAUCGGACGAAAACUUUAAUAAUCAUUGUAAAACUGAUAAUGCAUCGAUUUUUAGCGGUUUAAAUAAGUCUAUUAUGGAAAAAAUCAAAGCUUAUGCUUCAAAAUCGUUCUCACCUAAUGAAAAAUUAAUAUCUAAUGAUAUACCAGAAAAUCUGUUAGAUAUAAUGAUACCGUAUAAAAAGGAUCCAGGAGAGCACAUUCUAGAGGAACAAAAAUCGGAGAGGGAGUUAAAAAACUUUGAAAUGUUAGAGCAAAAAGUUGAAAAUAGUUCUUUUUGUUCCACCAAUACCAGUGUUAUGAAUCUUUUGGCUAGUACUCCUCAAAAAAAUUAUAGUACAACGAAUAUUACUGACAAAGAAAUAUUGUUUGUUAAUGACAGACAGGAAAAUAUUCAUUUGAAAUUGGAGGAAAUUGCCGAGAAAACUGACGUUUUGCGAAAUUUUCUUAUUAAUUUGCACAAAAUGGAAUUGAAUGAUGCACAUCAAAACUGCAACGAUUUUAAAGAUGUUAGUGCACAUCGUUCAAGCAAGAUGACCUCCAGAGGAACUAGUUUUUCUGACGAAGAGACGAGAUGGUCAUCGAGAUCGCCCAGUGUGGUGGACAAUUAUACCGAAUAUGACAGUACCUGUCAAAGCGAGAGUGUCACAAGAAUCGACGCGGGCGUCAACACUAGUUUUGACAGUUUUAAGUUGGACGAUACUGUCAAAAAUGACGAACCCUGUACAGAAUGCGAGGUUUUAAAAUCAAAACUUUUACAAAAAACAAAAAGUUUUAAUAAUCUUCAGACAGAGCAUGAGAAAUUAAAAAAAGAACUAAACGAGUUAGAUGGAAAAUAUAAUAAUAUAAAAAAAGAAAUGAAUAAUAAUGAAAAAAAGUAUACAGAACAAGUGGCAAAACUAGAGGAAGAGAUGACUAGUGAGCGAAAAAAAUAUUUAAAAGAGAAAAACUAUUUUGAAAAUUAUAUAAAAGACGCACAGAAUAGACCGUCUAAAAAAGAACGUGAAGAAAUUAGUCAGUUAAAACAAGAAUUGGCCGAUGCAAAAGAAUUGUUAAAAUUAAAAGAUACCAAAUAUGGAGCCUCACAGGCCAGGCUUAGGACUCAAGUGAAACAACAAGAAAAAGAGCUAACUGAACUUAAAGCUACUGUGGAGAAACUACAUAAAGAAAACGCAAAAUUGAGUUCGAACCAGAAGUACAUGCGUCGGCCUGCCGAAGUUAAAAUGCUUCAAGAAAUCAACAAAAACCUGUCAAAAUUGACAGAAGAAACCUUUAAAAAGAAGGUAGAAAAAUCUGGCAAAGGCAAUGGUGACGAGAAACAAAAUGUAGUAUCUGAUAUCAGCAUCCAAGGAAGUGAAACAAUUAAAACUACACCAAAAGAAACAGAAGAGAAGUCUGUUACAACGCGUUCUAGUAGAAAUUCAUUAAAGAAUGACAGUGUGGAGUUAAAUUUUAUAAAUUACGAUACUGUUUCUAUUGAAAAACAAUACGAGCAUAAGUUUGGCAAUGUCGCAAGUCCCAGAAAUACUAAUUGUUCUGCAACAUUAGAUAAGUCUGAGAAUGUUCUUCCUGAUGGUUCCAUUGAAAUAAGCUACUCUAACGGCAAUUUAAAAACUAUAUCUUCCGAUGGUCAGUUAAUAAAAAUGAAAUAUUUUAACGGCGAUACCAAGGAGACUGAUUUAAAAAACAAUAUUAUCAAGUACCACUACGCCUCGACUAACUCUUUACAUACACAAUAUCCGGAUGGAUCAGAAUUACUGGAAUAUUCAGAGUAACGUCAUCUAAAGGCUCACCUACACGUAACGUUUUAACUGUUCAGUCAAAAAGUAUUAGAGGACAAAAAUGUAAGAAGUAUCCCGAUGGUAAAACAGAAGUUAGCUAUUCGGAUGGUUCCAUCAGGCUGAUUUAUCCGGA
rnacentral:misc_RNA from 1 species